GACAUCAAGCAAGUCCCAGUUACAGAAAGAACCCACUGCAGGGCGUCCAGUCACUUGCCCAGUGAAAAGACUGUAAUCAGACAACUUUAAUAAAGGGAGAGCAGGAGAGUGGUGACGAAUUUCCACAUUCCGAACAAGCUUGUCGAAAGAGGAGUGCAGGGAAGGAGCAAGAAUGAGGCACUGGAAGACGGCUGUAGGCGCAUGAUGUCACAAGUUAUUGGAAGAAAUCCCUCCAACCUAGGUUGGGACAGAUGAAGGCGGCGCUUAUUGGUGUUCACCAAAACACCAGCAUGGUGUACCAGCUUUGGCUAGAUGAUGCUCAGAACACCAGAGACUGGGUAAUUAAUAAAAAGAAGAAAUUGAUCUGGCCUACAGUUCUGGAGCCUUGGAAGUCCGAGAUCAAGGAGCUGCAUCUGGAAAACACAGAUCCUGGUGCCGAACAUGAGGACAGGGCAGGCCGAAGGAGAAAGUGGAAGGAGGGGAGCUUCUCUCUCAGCCUCAUCCUUCUGGGCCUGGAUGCUGGAGAGUCAUGAGGUGCUUCAGAGUACUCUGGGUGAGGAGGGAAAGAUGGUGCCCACCACAUGGAGGCCAGCCUAGGUCUUGUAUGAAACCUGUGAGGUAUGAAGGAGUAAUUUUUCUUUCUAAGCCAUUUCUCUGCUUAUUUCUCAGAUCAGUGCCCUUUAUGUUUGAACUUGGUGUGAAUGACCAUCUUAGUGAUUCUUACUGCAAUGACAAUAGGGAGUUAAAUGACAUAAGUUUCUUUUUCAUGGGAAAGGAUAUAAAAAUGUAUCUGCAUGUGGUCAGUGUAGAAUAUUCCCAGCCAGAGGUGCAGUUUUCUGGAUCCCUCCCACAGACAUUGUGUGGAAGCACACCUAUUAACCGAUAAGGGGCGAAAUUUCACCAGAAUAGAGAAGCAUCCUCUUUGCCCUUUUCACAGGGGUGGGGAUGAGGUUAGGGGUGGGGUUAUACCUUCUUUGCUCACCCAGCUGCUUCUAUAUAUCUUAGCCUGGAUAUGCCUAAACUUAAGCCAAAACAAAAACUCAUAGACAGGUAGUUUAUUUGCAAAAUGAUACUAGGGAUCAGGAGUAAGGAAUGAGAGUAAAGCAGGGGAGGAAGAAAAGCCACUGCAAGCAUGCACUGUCAACAGAGGAAGGACCAACAAGCACAUGAAAGGUCUCAGUGUUACUAGUCACCAGAAUUCAAAUGAAAACCACCACGAGAUACCUACUAGAUGCCUAUUAGAAUGGCUACAUUAAAAAGACUGCAGCAACAAAUGUUGGUGAGGGUGUGGAACAGUCAGAGCUCUCAUCAAUUGUUGGUAGGGGUGUAAAUUGGUACAACUUUGGAAAGGUCUGGCACUUUCUUAAAAAACUAAACACACACUUUCUAUGACCCAGCAAUUUCAUUCCUAGAUAUUUGCCCAGCAGAAAUGAAAAUAUCUGUAUAUAAACAGACUUGUUUAAGAAUGUUCAUGGCCUGGCGUGGUGGCUCACGCCUGUAAUCCCAGCACUUUGGGAGGCUGAGGCGGGCGGAUCACGAGGUCAGGAGAUCGAGACCAUCCUGGCUAACAUGGUGAAACCCCGUCUCUACUAAAAAUACAAAAAAUUAGCUGGGCGUGGUGCAGGCGCCUGUAGUCUCAGCUACUUGGGAGGCUGAGGCAGGAGAAUGGCAUGAACCCAGGAGGUGGAGCUUGCAGUGAGCAGAGAUCGCGCCACUGCACUCCAGCCUGGGUGACAGAGCA
ensembl:lncRNA ZBED3-AS1 ZBED3 antisense RNA 1